UACGUAGGGGGGCUAGCGUUGUCCGGAUUUAUUGGGCGUAAAGAGCGUGUAGGCGGCCAGGUAGGUCUGCUGUGAAAACUCGAGGCUCAACCUCGAGACGUCGGCGGAAACCAUUUGGCUAGAGUCCGGAAGAGGAAAGUGGAAUUCCUGGUGUAGCGGUGAAAUGCGCAGAUAUCAGGAAGAACACCAAUGGCGAAAGCAGCUUUCUGGGACGGUACUGACGCUGAGACGCGAAAGCGUGGGGAGCGAACAGG
rnacentral:rRNA from 1 species